rnacentral:tRNA from 49 species
CGGAGUGUAGCGCAGCCUGGUAGCGCACAUCGUUCGGGACGAUGGGGUCGCAGGUUCAAAUCCUGCCACUCCGACCA